rnacentral:misc_RNA from 1 species
GGCUGGAUCACCUCCUUUCUAAAGGAUUCCUGCCGGCCGAUGGUGACAUCGAGUCGGUACGAAUUGUGGAGACAGAUCUUGUGCCAGCCAGAGGUCAGCCGAUGAGCGAAAGCUCAAAAGCAAACUACUGAAUUGAAAAGUAAGGGCCCCCGCAGGGCUAGCCAAACCUGCGUGGGGCCUUUUUUUGCGCGCAUGCAUAGACCGGCUAUGCUAUGCCGCAAGCGGCGUUCGACGCCAGUUCGACAAUUUCGCCGGAGCAAUGCAUGCCGCGGCAGAAUCCCGUCGUCAUUGCGUACCACUUGGUAUGGACCGCGUACGGCACGUGGUUGCCCAACGAUCCUCGCGGGAGCGGAUCCAAAGAAAUUGCCUCGCCCAUUUUGGCAGAGCUCGGUGAACUCCAUUUCGGAAGAAAGAGAAUCCAACCGCGCUUUCAUGAAGUGCGGGAUUCCUACGACCGCGCCGAGUCGUUGCUGAAGUUUGACGUGAUCCGCUUCGGUCAUGGCCAAAUAGAAGCCGUCGCCGCGGCUUUUUCGAAACGAUCGCCGCGCAACAGUACACGUGCUACGCCUGCGCGAUUCUGCCGGACCACGUUCACAUCGUAAUCCGCAAGCAUCGCGAUCGGGCCGAGAAAAUGAUCGCUCGCUUGCAGGAAGCCAGCCGCUUGCGGCUUAGCAGCGCGUGACUCGCGCCGCGUGAACACCCCGUCUGGACCAGCGGCGGUUGGAAGUCCUUCCUCGACUCGCCCGGGGCUGUCAGCGCAGCGAUGCGCUACGUCGAGAAAAAUCCCGUGAAAUCUGGGCUAAGCGCCCACAAUUGGUCGUUCGUCCACCCCUACGACGGCUGGACGUUCGAAAAACAAAAGCCGUAACCGCCAGCGUUGAUCCAUCCGCUUGCGGCUUAGCGAUCAGCGACCACACCUACGCCGCCUUGUAAUACUGCGCCACGAUAUCGCCGUUCGCCUGCGCCGCUUCGGCGUACCAGAUGUUCAAAAUCGUGUUCCGCACCCCCACCUGGCCGGCCAGCGUCGUGCGGCCGUGCCAGCUCUUGAGCGUCAGGGCGUUGAUCACCGCGAACGCAUAGGCCACGUUCGGCAAGAACGGCGGCUGCUUGGCCACUUCGAACCCGCGCGGCUCCCGCAGCAAAUGCAACGGAUUGAAACUGCGCCGAUAGAAUUCGGUCCCCAGGUGUUUCUGGCUGUCGUCGGCCGGCAGGGCAAUCUGCAUCGUCACGACUUUCUUGCGCGUGUCGGGGUGGGGCUUGAUCAUGUAGCC